rnacentral:rRNA from 1 species
CCUCCUUUCUUCCUCCUUUCUGCCUCUUGGUCCAUGGGCGCGCGCCUGCACCAGCCAAGUCGCGUGAGGGAUGACGGUCCUACGGAUUGUAAACCUCUUUUGCCGGGGAGCAAGCGUGCGUUCGUGAACGCGCGUCGAGAGUACCCGGAGAAAAAGCAUCGGCUAACUCCGUGCCAGCAGCCGCGGUAAUACGGAGGAUGCGAGCGUUAUCCGGAUUUAUUGGGUUUAAAGGGUGCGUAGGCGGGAUGCCAAGUCAGCGGUAAAAAUGCGGUGCUCAACGCCGGCGAGCCGUUGAACCUGGCGUUCGUGAGUGGGCGAGAAGUAUGCGGAAUGCGUAGUGUAGCGGUGAAAUGCAUAGAU